rnacentral:rRNA from 1 species
UACGUAGGUGGCAAGCGUUGUCCGGAUUUACUGGGCGUAAAGAGCGCGCAGGCGGUCGGUCAAGUCGAGUGUGAAAGCCCCCGGCUCAACUGGGGGAGGGUCAUCGAUACUGAUCGACUCGAAGGCAGGAGAGGGUAGUGGAAUUCCCGGGUGUAGUGGUGAAAUGCGUAGAUAUCGGGGAGGAACACCAGUGGCGAAGGCGACUACCUGGCCUGUUCUUGACGCUGAGGCGCGAAAGCUAGGGGAGCAAACGGGG